GACCACUCGAGGACCCAGCGUUCCCUCCCCGGUAUUCCUCCCCAUUUCUACUGCAGUUACAGACAGAACUGCUCAGACCCAGACAGCGCUCCCAGCUGCUGUUCCCUCUCUAGUUUCUCCAAGCCUUCCAGCGUUUAGUUAGAAUCCCCACUGUCAUCUCCUAGCUGCCUCAGGAACACCUGGGGACAUUUCUAAGCUUUAAUAUCCUUACCUGCAAAGUGGAAACUCAAUACUUUUCUCACAGGACAGUUGUACAGAGAUACAGAAAGAAAACACACACACACACACACACACACACACACACACACCCCUCUAUCUGCCUACCUACCUAGGGGUGGAUAAAGGAUCCUUAAGAAUCUGGCACAAGUUGGACCUCAGAUAUUAGCCUCCAGUUUCGGCCACUGUGGAUCCCCUAUUCUCCAGGGUGAUGGUGAGAGGUACCUGAGUUAAGAUGAUGAAGCCAAGAGCAUGGAGCAUGCAUGAUGGAAACAGUGAAUGUAUAAGAAAAGACUAGAGCUCCUCUCUCAGCCCCACGAGGAUACAGCAAGAAGGCAGCCUGCUGCAAGCCACGCAGAGAGGCCUCACCAGAAGCCAACCAUGCCAGCACCCUGAUCUUAGAGUUCCCAGCUUCCAGAACUAUGAGAAAUAAGCAUCUGUUGUUUAAGCCACCCAGUUAGUGACAUUUUACAACAGCCCAAACUAAGGUAUCUGCUACCAAACCAUCUAUAGCUCCCUAUUGUUUACUGAUUAAUGUGUCUCAGCUCUGUUCUUGUCCCCAGCACGUCCUCCAACCUGCCCACAGCCUUCCACUUCUGCCGUCACUUUCCUUGUCCUUUUGGGCAGGGGGACAAUGUGCUGUUCCCUCCGAUAGUCACACAUGCUCCCAUUACUGAGCUCUCUUUCCAGGCCUCUCUUUCUGCCUGCCCUGUCCUGCACUCAGCCACACCUGUCCCCUGAAGUCACAGUCCUGCAGGAGGUAUCACCUGCUGUGCCAGCUGGUGGCCCCACAGGGAGCUGGGGGACAGCAGGCCUCUUGGAAGGGAGGUGGAGCUCCCAGGUGGAGAAGGCGGUGUGGGGGCCUUUCUACGGGCCUGUGGGACCUAAAACUUCAACCCGCUAACUUCCUUAUAGGGGCCCGAAUCCUCCACCAUGGCCCAGGUUCACUCAUUAUUCUGGCUGGAAUAAACUCUAGAAUUGAACACCCUACCCUAUACCCCAUUCCCUAUAUAAACUUAUACCCAGUUCCUGGCCACUCCCAUAGAUAGCUAUCCUAGGCUAGUCAGACAGACAGACAGACAGACACACACACACACACACACACACACACACACACACACACCUG
rnacentral:lncRNA from 1 species